UCCUGGGACACAGGACUUCCCAUGCUGAAACCAGGGCAGUCCUGGCAAAGCAGGAUGCUUGGUCACCCUGUGUUCAGGCCAGAAAGACUUCCUGGAACCGAGUAGUUUGGCAGUGGAAUAGAAAACAACUUAUUUAAAUUUAAUCUGACAGAUGUAAUCAAAAUCUCUUGGUGAUUAUUUCCCACCCUGAGUUCUCACAUGCUUAACCCUUUAAUUUCUGGAGGGAUUUCAGAAUGCCUUCUGGUACACAGUGACUUCUAAUGGGACCGGUCGACCAGCCCCAUGGCUUGGAAGCACAGUGUAAGAUUAAAAGGAGUGUUUGUGACAGAGGAACAUCAUUAUGACUUCAGACAGACUGCAGUGGCCUUUUGAGGCCAAAGGACCAUCUCUGAGGACAGACAAGACCAGUUCUGAUCAUAGAAGCCGUUUCAAUCUUGAACUUGCAGUAGUAAAGAAGCUAUGAAAGGCUCAACUUGCUUGGCUGAGGGGCCUGAGGUGGUAUUCAACACGCAAUGCUCAGCAUCAGACUGUUGCACCCAUCAGAUUCCUUCUUCUUAGGAGAAGCCACUCGGGACACCUUAUCUGAGGAUUCCUUCAAGGCCCCUGGCUUGGGUGAAGCUGCGGAGGGCUUGGACUUCCCAUCACCCUUCUUGACAGUGAAUGAAGAAACAGUGAUGUCAUUCGAUCAGUCUUUCUACAAAAAGCCUCCAGGUGAACCUAAUGAAGCUGGGCAGUUUAUUUACAGCUCUUGCCAAUGAUGGAAAGUACACAGAGGCCUCUCUGUGACUCUCGGGGCCAAGGAAGAUUAAAUGCAGAAAGACAGAUGGCCCUUCCCAACGAGACUAAGACGCCGCCAUCUCAGGAAGUUCUCGGGAAGAUGGUUUUAAAUAGAUGCGGCAACUCCUCCUGUCAGCACGUCCCUCAACCUCUCCAUGUAGAAAUCUGCUAUCAGCUACGGGCAGCCCCAAGCUGCUAUGGUGACAGCCCUGAAUUGUCGCUCUAACUAGGAGACAGAGGCGCGUUAUUUUGCAAAGAGAAGUUUCCCAACCAGAUAAAUUCUCAAGCAGAAAUAACCAAAUUCAAAUGUUCAAUCUGAUUUUACCAAAUACCACUAGUAUCCUAUAAUUUUCAAAACUUCACAUGUAUCAUCCUUGAAUAAGAUAUAUUCAUUAGAAAUAUUAAUGAUAAGGCUUCAGUCCAGCUACUUUAACCAUCCUUCUCUUGGGGCAUGGACAUGGCCCAUAGACACACCCCAUUUUCCUACAUGCCUCCCUCUCUUGGGCUAUUCAAGCAGCCCAAGUUCAAACACUGGGGCCAGGCAUUAAAAGUAAGAGAAAUCAGAAGUUAUUUAACCAGGAUAAGUAAGUACAUGCACUGAAAGAGAUCAGGGCAGUUAAAUCCUACCCAAAAUCCAAGAGAUCUUUGGAGUAUUUCAGAAAACAGGAAACCUGGGUUUUCUUUUGGACUCUGUCAUUCCAAGUUUCUCCAUCAUCUCUGCCAUCUGUAAAAUGCUGACUGUUCCAACCCCCCUCCAUCUGUAUCUCGGGCACAUUCAGAAUGGUUCCAAUUAAUUAUAGAUGAGUGCUCUAAAUUCCUCGGGUGAUGAGCCACAGGACUACAGGACACUGCACCACGCGGUUUUACUUAUUUCAAAGGAGUGCAACACCCCCUCCCCUCCUCCUUCUAUCUCCCACGAGCGCUUUCAAAGAUCAGCCUAAGGCUACAACAAUAACCGAGCAACUGUAAAGCUUGGAUACUCCCAGACAGGAGCCUACCUCUUGAUCGGUGAAAAUCUCUAUGAAGUUCUGGAAGGAGAAAGAGCCGGACUGGAGAAUGAGCUCUCCGGUAUUUUCAAAGCACUGCCCCGUCAACACGAGCAGCUUGUGUCGGGCAGCGUCCGUGAUCAUUAAGCGCACCUGAAACAAAGCACGGGGAGCAUGAGCCAUGGGGGGCACUGGAAUCCCACCUUCUGGAUUAGGCUGGCCCUUGGAGCUCUUGAAGUUUCUUACCAACGAGAAUUAUGCGUUCCCCGGUAUUCACAUUGCCCCUGGGGUGUUGGACGGAGCCAAUGACUGUGGUCACCAGCUGCCCAUGAAUGCCAUUUUCCAAAUCUGGCUACCACCAAGACAGUAGUAGGAGUUAACUUUCUCCCCUUAGUUUCCUUGUCUUUUCCAAAGCAGUCUCCACAGCUGGCAAUCAUUUGUUGCACAGCUGUGCCCACCAGCAGCGUGCAUACUAGCAGCGUGCAGUCCGUGAGACAUGAAUAUCUCACAGGCUGACUCAUCAAGUACAGUCCAGGUCUCCCAACUGCUGCCUCAGGAAACAUAGGUUUCCAGCUAGGGUCCCAAGUCAGCCCCUCCCACCCAGGACCCCUUUCCUGCCAAGCCACACACCGAACACACAGCUCCAAAAGCAGUCUCCAACGGGAGCAGCAAGGUGCCUCACGUUGAACUUGAACAUAAACAAAAGGCUGCCCUGAUUGGGAAUCUUUUAAAUAGAAUUGUAAACGGUUUGCACGAAAGAACUCUCUGUUCUUUAAGUGGCAGGGAGCCAGCCUGUCCUUCAGCAGAAAUACCACUCCAAGCACCAAGGUUAUUCAUUCUGAGCCCAACUCAGUUCAGCACAAAGUGACUGCCAGGCAUCAUGCUAGGCACUAAGGGAGGGAUGCAGAGUAAACAGGACGUGACCCACUGUCCCCACGGACCCCCGAGCCCAGGGCAAUGCACGUGUACCGAAGUAAUUGUUCCAGCCCCAUCUGCUCCACAGGCAAGCCUGGGCUCCUUAAAGAAAUUCCUCAUUUUUUCCUUCUUCAUUUCUCACAGCUGUUCCAGGCAAUCUGCCUGCACAUGUAUUCCACCUCCAGCUUUUUUCAAGUUGUAUCUACUUCCUGAUUCUGAUGGCCAAAGACGGAUUGCUAGCCCAUCACCUGCCUCACCUUGUACCUUCAUGGAUUGUCAGAGGGGUCCUGCUGAUCUGGAGCAGAUGAAGUGGGAUCAAAACAGGCUAUAUAAUGCCAGCCACAAAGUGGAAGCAAACCAAAUGUCCAUCAGCUGAUGAAUGGAUAAAUAAAAGUGGUGUACCCAUACACUGGAAUACUAUUCUGUCAUAAAAAGGAAUGAGGUACUGAUAUGGGCUACGAUGUAGAUGACUCUGGAAAACACUGCGUAAAGUGAAAUAAGCCAGACACAAAAGGCCACAUGUCAUAUGAUUCCACUGUCCGAAAUACGUGCUCAGAAUAGGAAAAUCCAUAGAGGCAAAAAGUAGAUUAAUGGUUGCCAGUGGUUGGGGGAAUGGGGGUGACUGCUAAUGAGCUUGGGGUUUUGGGCAACAAU